UAAAAUCAAAAUGUCAAAGAAAAAAUUAACAAAAUAGUAAAAUAUUUCUCGUGCCUUGCUUCAUCCAGUGAUUACUCGAAUAUCCUAUGGACUUUAAAUAAUAUAUUUUUAGUCAUAAAUAUUUUGAAACUUUAAUCUCACAAAGGGUACAUUCGGUGCCUGCUAUGAAAUUUGUAUUUAUCUCGACCUUUUACGGUCCCAUAAGAAAUUUUUCUGCUUAAACUAACUCCCUUCUUUUAAAUCUAUCUACAACAGUGGUCCCCACUAGGAUUCUGGGAAAAGCCAAAUAUAAUUUUUGAGAAAUUCUUGUUAGCUGUAUGCAGUA